UUCUUGGGUAGGAACCCGACCCUCUGGUUCCCGGUUCCUGAUUUCGGUUGCAGUUCCAUAACUAGAAUUGGAACCGGUUAGGGUUAAAAAAAAAAAAAAAGGUCCCAAAUCAAUUUUAAUUGUUUACCCUCCCUCAGUUCAAUUCUCCUCUGAGUCCUCUCCUGUUCUCUGCCUUUAACCCGUCGCCGACGCUACUCACCCUCGACGCCACCGUCGGACAUUGCUUGCCCUCGACGCUGCCACCGGACACGCCCUCACCUUCAACGCCGCCGCCGGACGCCGCUCGUCCCGCCGCUGGACGCCAGUCAGCCCGCGCUCGCCCCGCCCUUGCCUCCUCGACGCCGUCACCCCUCGCUCGCCUCGCCGCUUAGCCGCUCGUCGUCGAUGCCGCCGCUGGACGCCACUCGUCCCCCCGGUGAAGGCUGCUCGCCGCUCGUCCAGCCGCCCCGACACCGCUCGCCGCUCGCCCAGCCGCCCCCGACGCCGCUCGCUUCUCCGCCCGCUGCCCCCGACGCCGCUUGCCCAGCCGCCCCCGACGUGGCUCGCGCAGUCGCCCCCGAAGCCGCUCGCCCAGUCGCCCUCGACGCCGCUCGCCCAGCCUCCCUUGAAGCUGCUCGCCCAGCCUCCCCUUUGAAAGGUUCCCCGAUCUAAGGGAUUUAUGUCAUGGCCGAUCCUUCAAUCCUAGACCAGUUGCCUUACAAAGUGAAUAUUUCACUGCGAUGAACCACAACCCAUAUUGUAGGGGGGCCGGCUUCAAUCCGCGGCAAAAUCCGUUCUUGCGAGCGAUCAAUCCGUUUUGCUUUUCCGUUUCUUUUGAAUUUUCGGGUGGAAUUCUGGGUUCUCUUUGCGAAAGGAAGGAAUUCAGGAAUUCCCCAACUCGGUGGAGCUUGUGGAACGGCUUGGUUUCAGCUUAUAGCUGUGAGUCUUGAUGAAAGUUCCCUGCUUUUUAACAUUUCUUUGUGGUUGGUCGAGUUGUGGGGUUGGUAGCUGAUCAUUUUGUCUGUGUAGGAUUUUGGGUGUGUGUUUGUUCUUGAGAUGCUUCUGUGAGAGCCUUUUUUACUACGUGUGCUUGGGCAAUCCAAUGAUCAUUUGCUUUUGCUUCUCUCUCUUUCCCUGUUUUCUGAGAAUUCUGAAGAAAGAUGAUUUUUUUGCCCACUCUGUGGGGUUAACGACCAAGAAAGAUUUAUGUCUCUAAGAUAUGUUUGAUAAAUUUAAUGCUGAAUUGAGUGCUAUUGCUCGCUCGAUAAAUUUGACUCUAUUGCACUCUUCAUCUUGAUCUGCUCUGUAUUGGUGCAUUACUUGGACGAGAGAUCAAUCUAGCGGUGAUGUUUCCAUCUGAUUUGGUUCUGUUUUUGUUGUGCCAGUCAGAUCGCAUGUGGUAGAAAAGAUCUCUUUUUUCCCUCUUUAUUGCUUGUUUUAUCUUGCUUUCUGGGUGGUCAUCACAAAGCGUUCCUGUCCAUGACUGGUGGCAGUUUGCAUGUUCGUAGACGUAAUAGUAGAAAUCAGUUUGGAAUUUUAUGAGAGAUCUCUGAGUUUAUAUGAUUUAAUAUUAAGGUCAUCUUUUUCCUUCUUUUGAAGAUCUUUGGAUCACUACCUUUUUGUCUGUUAUUAGUUGGCCAUGUGGAUAUGAAAUCUUAAACUGGAAGACUAUAGCAAGGCUGUCACAAUUUAUUAUUUCCAUCUCAAAGCUAUGUAGAGUUCUUUUUAGUUGAGGCACUGAACUAUUCACUUCAAUGUGGGUUAUGGUUCAUGGCUUGAGAUGAAUGUUUAAUUUGUAAGAUGCCAUUCCAGGAAUAGAAGAUAAAAGAAGGUCUCUACAUGAUGGGUUUGAAAGAUGGGAUAUUUCACCUGUCUUGGUUUAUUGUAUAUUCUUUGUAGGUGAAUGUAGCUUAUCUUAUUUAUUUUGUCACUCUUUGUCCUUAGUAUGUAUAGAAUGAGACAAUGCUUUUUUACCAAUCCAGAUUGUCACUUACAUGUGAAGUGAUAUAAACCAAGAGUGGAAUAUUUCUGCAAGAAGUACCAGUAGAGCUGGGUUUGAAAUGGCUGUUAGGUUCUUCUAGAAGUUGGUAGUAUUCUGUCUGGCCUCUUAAUUGUUUGAUCAUUUGUUCGGUUCAAAUUGGAUCAUACAAUUACUGAUUUGUAUUUUCAUGUAUUCUUUCAGUGUUACUACUCACGAACCCAUUUAUUCUAUCUAGCUUCUUACUUACUAUGGGAAAAUAUUUUGACAGGCUCCUCACUUUCUUAGUUUGAUAUUUUCUGCAGUUUGCAAUUUCCUCUGGAAUUAUCACUGUUUGUACAAUGGACAACCUUUUCAAGUACAGUAACAAAUCCUUGGUUUUUGUGUACUUUUUCUCAUUUGGACUGAGUGCAAUCAUGCUGUCAUUUAUGAUUUGUGCAUUUUUCACAAGAGCGAAAACGGCUGUUGCAGUUGGUACCCUUUCUUUCCUUGGGGCCUUCUUUCCUUAUUACACGGUGAAUGAUGAAGGUGUACCUAUGUAAGUAACUAUGCUAAAAUAUUUCAUUCAGGAUAUCCUAUUUGUGAUUAAAUUCACAGUACCACAUUACUCAUGCAACAGAUUUAUGCAUAUAGGAUUCUCAAAGUCAUUGCGCCUCUGCUUUCACCAACGCCCUUUGCUUUGGGGUCUAUUAACUUACUGAUUAUGAACGUGCUCAUGUUGGGCUUCGGUGGAGCAACGUUUGGCUGGUAACUUUGUGUUCUGGAGUCUUGAUAUUAUGUACUGUUUAAUAUUACUGAUGUUAAUCGUUCAUGAUGAUGGAUCAUGAAGGCGUCAUCUGGAGCGAAUUUUCUGGUCUGUCUAGUAAUGAUGAUGUUUGACUCACUUGUGUACUGUCUGAUGGUUUUUACCUGAAUAAGGUGUGUCUUCUUUGAAGAAUACUUAGAAAUAGUAACAAUUUUUAGUAGUACCGGACCUAGCCAUGGUAAGCAAAUGCGCACAUUGUGCUUUGCAACUUUCGUAAUGUCUACUUAGAGGAGUUGAAGGCUGAAUGCUAGAAGCUUCUCGACUUUCUUGUUUUGCUGUUGGCGGGCAUUCUCAUGGAUUAACCCUGCUUGACUUAUGUGCAACUGCAGGUACUGAAUGUCACACUGAGACUUGCAUGGAUGCAGAACAUUUUAGGCUUCCUUUCCUACAAAGAAAGGCCUUGAUUGCAAUCAUUACUAGCUUGGAAAUCAUCCACCGUGGGAUUUGGAAUUUUUUUAGGCAGAAAGGGUUCCUGAUGGAUUCGUGCUCAAUGUUGUGCGAAGGGAGGACUUGGCAUCGCGAAAUAGAAGUGGGGACUGCUGUGAAGUCCCCAAAUGCUUGCAACUGGAUUCACCGGAGGAGAUGGAUGUGAGUUGACAUCCGAAUUUUUUAGGUAUGCUGUUGGUAUUUUUUUUUUUUAAUUUGAUAUAGCAAAACUAAGUUUGCUUGUAAACUUAAGAGUGGUUUGGAAUAUCACAAUGCUGGCUUAUAACAUCACAGCUUUUCCUUAAGA